GGGCUCCGGGCAGCCGUGACCCUGCUGGAGUGCGGGGGGGACCUCCAGCCCCCCGGGGGGUCCCUGCGCCUCCUCUGCCGAGGGGCCGGGUUCAAUUUUGGCAGUUUCACCAUGUACUGGAUCCGCCAGAGACCCGGGCAGGCGCUGGAAUGGCUCGCAGGGAUCAGCAGUGGUUCCAGCACCUACUACGCACCGUCGGUCAAGGGCCGGUUCACGAUCUCCAGGGACAACGGGCAGAGCUCGGUGACGCUGACCAUGAACAACCUCAAGGACGAGGAUUCCGGAUCCUAUUUCUGUGCCAAAGACAGUGGUGCUUGUGGUGGUGCUUGUGCUGCUGCUUGUAUUGACCGUGCCGGUGGUGGCACCACCGCUGUCUGA